UCGUGGCAACUCCUGUUAGUGCGUUCGCCGGGCACCCAGCACCCGGUCUCUGGCCCUUGGCACUCAGCACCCGGCACCCAGCGCUCAGCCUGCAGAGCACCUGGGCGGUCAAGCAGGACGUCUCCCGCGGGGUCUUGCGCUCUGCCAAACCCUUCCAGCCUCCUGGCCUCUCUCCCACACGCAGGCCUUUCCCAGACCGAAGUUCCUGAGGCAGCACUUCCUUCAGGGAGAUCUGGAAGAGAGAGAAGGGUCGAGACCAAACACCUUCUCGGGAGGCCUCCUCUGGCCGCAAGGAUAAAAUUCUGACGGAACUACUAGUCUGCACCAACCACAGAUAGGGCCGUCUUCUUUCUCCUCCCCCGGUAGACGCUGGAGAUGUUUCCUCUCGAGUUGUUGGGGUUCGACUUGACAAAAUUCUAGAGGCGGUACAGAGUCUGUGAUCAGAAAAAUGCCUUUAUCACGGCGAAAAUCUGCUCGUGCCGAUGGACCGGAGAGAAGGCAGAAGAAGCAGUUGUGUCUCGGGGUAGCUGUUCUCCCUUGAAAUCCGGUAAAAAUGGCCCCCGUGAAUGCAGGCCUAAAAGUGAGUCCCCAAAGUGAGGGGCCUCUGGGACCCACACGCCAUCCCCCAAACAGGAAGAAUCAUUUUCCUGGCAACGGAAAGAUUAAUCAUGCAUUUCACAAAGGAGACGCAAGGUUCGGUAAUGUGCGACCUUGAUUUACAAUGGCCUCCUGAUUUAUUGUUGUGUAUUUUUAAACCAUGCUAUUUAAAACACAGCUAAUUUAAAAGCUAGUGUGUAGGCCCCGUCUGACUAUUGCUAAAGAUUUACUUUGUGCUAAUAAGAAAAUUAUUGUGUCUACGCUAUUCCCACUUCUCCCGCACUGUGUGAUCCAACCUCCAAUAAAAUUGCUUGUCAGGUGAGA